UACGAAGGGAGCUAGCGUUGUUCGGAAUUACUGGGCGUAAAGGGCGCGUAGGCGGUUUGACAAGUUGGGUGUGAAAGCCCAGGGCUCAACCCUGGAACUGCACUCAAGACUGUCUUACUUGAAUUCGGUAGAGGUUGGUAGAAUUCCCAGUGUAGAGGUGAAAUUCGUAGAGAUUGGGAAGAAUACCCGUGGCGAAGGCGGCCAACUGGACCGACAUUGACGCUGAGGCGCGAAAGCGUGGGGAUCAAACAGG
rnacentral:rRNA from 1 species